rnacentral:rRNA from 1 species
CCUACGGGUGACUGCAGUGGGGAAUAUUGCGCAAUGGGCGCAAGCCUGACGCAGCGACGCCGCGUGAGGGAUGAAGGUCUUCGGAUCGUAAACCUCUUUCAGCAGGGACGAACCGUCACUGUGCUAAUCAGCAGUGAAUUGAAGGUCCCUGCAAAGGAAGCACCGGCUAACUCCGUGCCAGCAGCCGCGGUAAUACGUAGGGUGCGAGCGUUAAUCGUAAUUACUGGGCGUAAGGGGUGCGCAGGCGGUUGAGUAAGACAGAUGUGAAAUCCCCGGGAUUAACUCGGGAAUGGCAUAUGUGACUGCUCGACUAGAGUGUGUUAGAGGUAGGUGGAAUUCCAAGUGUAGCAGUGAAAUGCGUAGAUAUGUGGAAGAACACCGAUGGCGAAGGUAGCCUCCUGGGACAUAACUGACGCUCAGGCACGAAAGCGUGGGGAGCAAACAGGAUUAGAUACCCCAGUAGUC